rnacentral:lncRNA from 1 species
UGAAGGCAAAGGGCCUCUGAGGGAGUAUUACAGUCGCCUCAUCCACCAGAAGCAUUUCCAGCACAUCCAGGUCUGCACCCCUUGGCUGGAGGGCCGAGGACUACCCCCGCUUAGGGUCGGUGGACCUGGGUGUCUGUCUGGACACAUCCUCCAGUGGCCUGGACCUGCCCAUGAAGGUGGUGGACAUGUUCAGGAGCUGUUUGCCUGCGUGUGCUGUGAACUCUCUGCAGCUUACAUGAGCUGGUGAAACAUGAAGAAAAUGGCCUGGUCUUUGAGGACUCAGAGGAACUGGCAGCUCAGAGAUGCUUUUCUCAAACUUUCCUGAUCCUGCAGGCAAGCUAAACCAGUUCUGGAAGAACCUGCGGGAGUCGCAGCAGCUCUGAUGGGAUGAGAGCUGGGUGCAGACUGUGCUCCCUUUGGUUAUGGA